GAUGAAGAACGCAGCGAAAUGCGAUAAGUAAUGUGAAUUGCAGAAUCCAGUGAAUCAUCGAAUCUUUGAACGCACAUUGCGCCCGCCAGCAUUCUGGCGGGCAUGCCUGUUCGAGCGUCAUUUCAACCCUCGACCUCCCUUUGGGGAAGUCGGCGUUGGGGACCGGCAGCACACCGCCGGCCCUGAAAUGGAGUGGCGGCCCGUCCGCGGCGACCUCUGCGUAGUAAACCAACUCGCACCGGAACCCCGACGUGGCCACGCCGUAAAACACCCAACUUCUGAAAGUUGACCUCGAAUCAGGUAGGACUACCCGCUGAACUUAAGCAUAUCAAUAAGCGGAGGA
rnacentral:misc_RNA from 1 species